GGAUUGUGGCUCAACAGUAGAGCGCUCGCCUAGGACCGGCGGGACCUGGGUUCGAUUCUCAGCACCA
rnacentral:tRNA from 1 species